CACGUAGGGUGCGAGCGUUGUCCGGAAUUAUUGGGCGUAAAGAGCUCGUAGGUGGCGUGUCGCGUCUGCCGUGAAAGCCCAUGGCUUAACUGUGGGUCUGCGGUGGAUACGGGCAGGCUGGAGGCUGGUAGGGGCAAGCGGAAUUCCUGGUAUAGCGGUGAAAUGCGCAGAUAUCAGGAGGAACACCGGUGGGCGAAGGCGGCUUGCUGGGCCAGUUCGUGACGCUGGAGGAGCGAAAGCCGUGGGGAGCGAACAGG
rnacentral:rRNA from 1 species